rnacentral:rRNA from 1 species
AUUGAACGCUGGCGGCAUGCCUUACACAUGCAAGUCGAACGGCAGCACGGGAGCAAUCCUGGUGGCGAGUGGCGAACGGGUGAGUAAUAUAUCGGAACGUGCCCGGUCGUGGGGAUAACGUAGCGAAAGCUACGCUAAUACCGCAUACGAUCUACGGAUGAAAGCGGGGGAUCGCAAGACCUCGCGCGAUUGGAGCGGCCGAUAUCAGAUUAGGUAGUUGGUGAGGUAAAGGCUCACCAAGCCGACGAUCUGUAGCUGGUCUGAGAGGACGACCAGCCACACUGGGACUGAGACACGGUCCAGACUCCUACGGGAGGCAGCAGUGGGGAAUUUUGGACAAUGGGCGCAAGCCUGAUCCAGCAAUGCCGCGUGCAGGAUGAAGGCCUUCGGAUUGUAACUAGCUUUGUUGUCGGAACGGAAACGGU